AACCGUUCCUUAAUUCCAAUGCUUAAAAAAGCUGGUGCUCUUUGGCUUUAAUCUCACCAGCAGGCUCACACAAAUCUACUUAAUAAUAAUAAGUUGACCUUUUUUGGUUAUAUAUAUAGAGAGAGGCAAUGUUGAGUUAAUCUUAGAGAUUAUGGCACUAGGUAUAAUUAAUUAGUCUAACUUAAUUGAUAGAUUUGGGGUGCCACUUAAGGACAAGGAUCUUCUACCUUUGCUGCAAUAAUGUGCAGCAGGUGGAUUCAAGUCUAUUGUUUAGCCUUCUUUUUUAAGGGUUAAAUGUAAUGUUAUCUUUUUUAUAAGUAUUGAUAAUAAAUUAAAGGGAAUACUACAUGGUUCCACAAGUUACUACAUUUUUUGAAUUAAUGCUUUUUUUCUAUGUUAGAAAUAUCAGCAUUAUAAAAAAAAAAAAAGUUUCCUCUAAAAUAAACAUGUCUUGAACAAAAAAUAAAAUAACAUGUUAUAUCGAAUUAAAUUAACCUAAAUAUUUAGUCCACCUUAAUCUCUUCUCUUGAAGUUUUAGUUAGAAUCAUCCAUAAAAACAAAAAUGGAACAAAAUCUUUUUAUAUAAUAUUUAUGAAGACGAGUGUAUGUGAUUCGGGUGCAAACCGUGUGUUGUUAUGCUGGAAAUAGAAUAAACCCACUGUAACAUGCACUAUUCCUUUUGAUCUCAUCAUCGAACAAUAGAUAUACGAAAUUUGGAGAAAAGUCAGAAGCCGGAAAAACUAGCAAGUGAAGUGAAUUCUGAUUCUCAAACAGAAAUGAUCAAUUUAUUACUAACAAAAAAAAAAAGAAAUGUUCAAUUUAAAAUAAUUUUUGAAACAACUCUUUCAUAUGUUCAGUGUACUACUUUAAUUCUCUCUCAAUUGUUUUUUUUUUUAAAAAAGAGAAUAAAAAUGUUGUCCCAAAAGUUAUUAAAAAAUAGUUGAGCAAAUAUUAUUUCUCAAUUUUUAAAAAAAUUAAAGAAUAUAAAUAAUAGUAAAAUAAGUUAUGAAAACCUGCAACACCCAUUCUACACCUUGAAAAAGAAGAAAAAAAAAGUAGAGAUAGAAAGAUUGAUAUGAUAGAUUUAAUAUAGGCUAAAUUACACGAGAUGUAGAAUGGGUGUUUUGUCGGUUUUUGUAUCAAGUAGGCCAUUUAAGUUAUUUAAUCGUAACAAUUUCAGGAAUUUCAGAUCUUCAAAAUGUAAGUUACUCGGGUUUAAAAGUUACAAUUAAAUAACUUAAAAGACUUAAAUGUUAUAAAAAAUACUUAAAUGACUAACUUGUUACAAUUAAAUAACUUAAAAGACAUAACUAAUAUGAAAAAACUUAAAAGGACCAAGAUGUUAUAAAAAUAACUUAAAAAACCUCUUGUGUAAUUUAAUCUUUAAUAUAUUGAUGUGAUGGAAAUAAAUAAAAUGAGAUGGAAAUACAUAAAAUAGAUAGAUAGGAAGAAAAUAAAGUGUUGAAAAAAUAGGGAUGUUCAAAUAUCAUAACUCUAAAGAAUAUGGAUGCCUUGUGUAGUUAGAUGAUGAGUGUUGAAGUACUCCCAAUGUUUGUUUUCUAAAUCACGUACAUUAUGACAUAUGCUAAAAAAUAUAUGAAUAAAGACCAAUGGUGUGUUUGGUUAACAGGAAGACAUGAGAGAGAUUUUAGUAGAUAAGAGAGGAAGGAAUUGGAGAAAUAUUUUAUAGUUUCGAUCCUAUCAAUUUACUCUGUUUAUUCUCUAAAUUAUUAAAAUUUUAUAUUUUUGGAUAAAAAUUUAAUGUCACCGUUUCGUAUUUAUAUUUUUCAAAACUAUAGUAAUAGGAAAAACGGUUGGUAUUUCAAUUUUUCAAAACUAUAGUAAUAGGAAAAACGGAGAGGAUCCUAACCUGAUAUCUUAAUGUCACAUGUUUGGUUCAUAAAAGAAGAAGAAAGAAUUUAUAACUUAUUUAUAUUUUUAUCCUUAUAAUUUGACAAUGUCUCAUGUUUUUUUUUUUUUUUAAAAACAUGGUAUCCGACCCAAGAAUCAACUAAUUUAAAGGGAUCAAUACCACAAUUCACUUGCUCUGUAUAGACUUGUCCAUCGAAAUUGGCGGUAGGAGGAAUCAAACGUGAGACCUUGAGAACAGCAAACUUCAAGAUUCCAAACCAACCACUAGGCGGACCCCAAAUGAGUACAAUGGUCUCAUGAUUAUAAAUUGUUCCCUACAUAAACAAUAAUACACGUGAGUCGAACUAUAUAAUUCUUUAGCAAAAAAUUAUAUCGUGUAUUGAUUGAAUUUUUUGAUCUUGAUAAUCCAUUUAACUCAAUGAAAUAUAAUUAUGAAACUAAAUUCUACAUAAAUACAUAAUAUAUAGACACACACACACACAAUGUAAGAAUAUUUAUCUUGUUACCCAAAAUCGGUACAUAGGCGAGUCAAAGAUAUGAGAAUUUCCCUUAGUUAGUGGAAGGUUAGUCGAGCACGAUUGCAGCUGAAUAAGGAUCAACUGAUUCUUUCUCGAGUCUGCUAAAAAAUAUGUGGAUCUUGAAGGAAUCAAACUUAGUCAAAACCUAAUUGAACUAUACAAUUAGGAACUUAACUUAUGCUCCAUGUUUUAGCACCAUCAAUCGCAAAGUGCGAUGAGCAAGAAAGAACAUUUUAUGGGAGGCUGCACACAUUGGACCUUGUCAACUCAACAUAUCAUGCCAUAAAAGGGAAAGCUAUAAGUCGAACGUGGGGCGCCACACACCCCUUCCAUGAGGGAAAACUAACACAUUGCUCACCCAAAUAACCAAGGAAGGUUAAACAGUAUAUGCCACAUCGUUUGGCCAAUACGAUUAGUUUUGCCGAUAAAUACUCAUCUUGUACAAUGUUUGAAACACACGACUAAUCAAAUGUAAGUUAUCUACGCAAUAUUAUCCCUUUACUUUUUGUGAUUGUUUAUAUUUACAUGUAUUUCUUAGUUUAGUAGCUAAAACCCCCAAAAAAAGCACACAUUAUUUAACGCUUUAAUAUAGUAAUUAGGAACUCAUAGUUGAGGAAUGAAGUUUCUUCCUCAACAAAAUAGAUUGAAUAAAGAGAAUCACAGUUGAGGACUAUCAACCCAUACCUAGGCUAAAUCUCUAGUAUGACAAUAAAUUUGGCACCCAUGAAAAUUUCAAUUCUCCAUAUCAAAACUAUGUUUGGUGUAUGCACUUGAGAUCUUAAAAGAGUCUUGGCAUUUUGGUUGAACUGUCGUCGUCAACUUCAAUAAGGUGAUGCCAACAAAGACUAAACAAGCCUUCACAAACAAUAGGAAUGCUAACAUAUGAAACUCCUCGUAGUGUUUAUGAGGAACCACUAGUUAAUCCAACCAAGCCGCUCUAGUAGCAAUGACAACACGUCUUUUAUAUUAGACAUCAGACAGACAUGGGAUAUGUUACAUCAUGUAUGAGAUCUCUCAACAAUUUUUUGAUAUUGUUAAACCCAUGAUUCUUAACGAAGUUUAACAAGUCAAGGAGUUUGAGGCUAGAUGAGCCAAAAACGUUAUCCUAUGUUACGGGAGAUAUAAAUAUACAAAAAGAAACUCGAUUCAUGUUUUAAAUAUAGUAGAUUUAUUAUUAUUUAAUUUGUUCUCCUCUCUGCUAAGUAUUAUGGAUACAUAUGAUGUGCUUUUGCAGCCUUUUGCGGUUGGCCUGGGUGAACCAAAAUAGAUUUUGCAACAAAACGUGUCGCCUUGAAAUUUUUUACAUGAACUUCACUUUGUACCACACCAAUAUUCUUCUAGGCUAUAGUGGUGGUGACCAUGCCACAAUGAGAUACGAUAAUAUUAACUUUUACAUUUUCAUGGAUCUUUCUAGAGAUAUCAACAAUCAACAAGACAGCCAAGCACAAAGCUGCGUAUAUUCGUUAUUUAGAUCAUUCCCUGGAAUAUUUUUAAAACUUAUAAAUAAAUAGAUAAAUAUAUAGUAAAGAUUUAUUUCAAGAAGUAAAGGUUUCUUUCUUUUUUUGACAAGUUUUUUUGUUUUUUUUUUAGAGUAAAGGUUUCUUAUAAUGUAGAUUUUGUUGUAACUUAAUUAGAUAUAUUAAUUUGGUAUAUUAAAAAAGAAUUACACAUCAAAUUAAACUUUUUUUUUACAUGUUUGAAUUAAACAUUUCCAGUAAGCUUCUUGUUUUUGAAUGCCGAAAAUUUAUAAGAUAGUUCGUCGUGCAAAAUUCGGAUCUUAGUCGACUAGCUCUGUGAUCACAUGAUGUCGUGACAAUUUGGUUGAUUUAUGAAUUCAUCAACUGAUAUGAUGAUAUGUAGGAUGAUUUUCACUUAUGUAAAAUCAUGACUAACAUUACUAAUGUAAGUGACUAUCUUAUAAGCUGAGUUAUAAGUGAAAACCGCAUUGUCGAGUUAUCAACUUCUUAAUUUAUCAACUAUCUAUGUCCUUCAUCACCAUAUUAUUAAGGGAAUAUAUCUUCAUUCACGUUCUGGAUUUAGUUAGAUGAUAUCUUGCCCAUACGAUUGAGUUGAGGGAAAAAAUUAUCUUGUGUUACGAUUGUUUGGUUGUCAUCUACCAACAUUCUCUACAUUUAUAUUUUUUAUGAAGUAUGAUGUUUGAUCAUGUUUUACCAUUCAAACUAACCACGGGGUCAUUUCUAUUUCCUUCUCUCUCUCUCUUUUUAAUUGCUUCCUUUAUCAUGCUACAUAUUUAAAAAAGUUGUUAUUCUUCCUUUGAACUUGGUCGAUUCUAUGUUGCAGUCUUUUGGACACUCAUUAAACAUUACAGCGACCUUAAUUCUCAUUAAACAUUACGACAAUCUUAAUAAGACUUAAUAAUCUCCUCCAAGUCCAUUAUGACUUAGUAGCCAUAUUCAACAAUAGGACGUAGUAGCCACGUUCAACCAUCAACUAAUUUAGUCAUCAACCAAUUUAUCACUCUCAAAUCAAGAGCGAUCACUCCGUCAAACUCCAAAAACAAAUCGUUAAGGAACCUCUCAACUCCUGAUCAACCAGAAAAGACACCUAAAUCAGCCUAAAAAAUUUGAAACUAGUAACAAACUCCCGAUCUCCAAGGAAAAGCGAUCUCACCCGAGAUUAAUGAAACAAACUCCUAAUCCUAGUCAUUAGGUGCAGCGGUAACACAAACAAAAUCAGUUUGGAUUGGGACCCAACUCAAAAAAAAAAAAAAAAAAAAAAAAACCGAAAACGAAAACAAUCUAAAAUUUAGCCACAAGCCAAUCGAAAAACCCAAAACUGAAGCGAGCUAGCUGAGGAAGAGAUAGGCCCAGAUCUCCAAUCACUAUAUCCUAUUGUAUAUGGCACAUGUAACAUGUUUUUUUUUUUUUUUUUACUGUUAAUCCAAUUCCUGUUUUUUUGUUUUGUUUUUUUGUUCAGAGGAUUAAUGCAAUUCCUAUUCCUAUUGUACACAAAGCAUUAUUCAUAUUCUCCUUUCCGGAAUUAGAUGCGAAUCCUAGCUGCAAGAAAAAGAGGUCCCCAAUUGGAUAAAUCCAACUUUUCUUCCAACGCAGCAGAUGCUCAACGAUAAAUCCAACUUUCUUUCGGUAUUAGGAAAAAUAAAAUAAAAAAAUUGUGCAAUAUUGAUGUCAUGGAUCACUUGAGUAUUGUUUCACAUGUCAAUUUACAAUUUUAACAUUUCGUAUCUCUAAUUAUCAAUUAGAAGUAACAAAAAAUAUAUAAAUUAAAUAUUUAUCGAACUCAUCUUUUUUAUUUGUUGAUAAAAUCCAACAUAUUUUUUUAUGCUAUCAUUUGUCUCUAUAUAUUAGUAGAAAAAUAUAAUUAAAAUAGACACAAAUGCUGCCAUUCUACCGCUCAUUUAAUAUAUUUUGAUCAUAUUUUUCCUAGACAAAUGGUAACAUAUAUAAAUACAAAUAGUAGCAUACAAAAUUGUAGCAUAUUAAAUUGUAGCAUUUGUCUUGAACAGAAAAUAAUAAUAGUUUGAUUUGGUGUUUAAUUAGAUUCAAACAACAGUAAGUAACAAACAAUCGUAAUAGAAGUAAGGGUUAACAGUGCUUUACUCUCCUGUAAUAUAGGUCAUUUCCGGUUUUCCCCUCUGUAAAAUAUUUUUUUUGAAUUUCGUCCUUUUAAUUUGAAGAUUUUUUGGUUUUAGACCUUCAUGGAAAAUUUCACCCCCUGUAAUUUGAGAAAAUUUAGGUUUACCCCCUUGUAAUUUGAGAAAAUUUCAGUUUACCCCCUGUUAAUUUGAGCAAAUUUCGGUUUGCCCCCUGCCAUAUCUUCGAUUUUGUACAGUCAAAAUUCAUGAAGGUCCAAAACAAAAAAUCUUCAAGUUACAAGGACGAAAUUCAAAAAAAAUAUUUUACAUGGGUAAAAUCGAAAAUGACUUAUAUUACACGGGGUAAAACACUAUUAACCAUAGAAGUAACUCAAGUAAGCCGUACCAAAGGACUUUGUCUUGAUUUGUUCCGUAUGCAUGCAUGCAAUCAAUCAAUGCAUGGAUGAAGAAUAUAAUCGUUUGUACUAGCUAGUAGUAAAAGUGGACUUAAUUGAUCAAUCACUUUCAAUGAUUUUGAAAGUGACCCAAACAUCUAAUCGACGAUUCUCCACUUUUCUACUUUUCUUUUCCAACAACAAGCCUUAAUUUCUUCCCUUCAAAAACCCCUAUAUAAGCAUGCCACGUUUGGCUUAUUAACUCAACAAACAACACACCAAAACUUCAAGUAUAACUAACACACAUUCCUCACAUAUCAACCAACAUUUUCCACAUUUGACAUUAUAUAUAAUGGAGAGAGUAACAAAGAUGGUUUCAGAAAGGCCAGUGGUGAUAUUCAGCAAGAGUUCAUGUUGCAUGAGUCAUACAAUAAAGACACUAUUUUGUGACUUUGGUGUGAAUCCAGCAGUAUAUGAACUUGAUGAGAUACCAAGAGGGAGAGAGAUUGAACAAGCACUUAUUUCAAGACUUGGUUCUUCUCCAUCUGUUCCAACUGUUUUCAUUGGUGGUGAGCUUGUUGGUGGAGCCAAUCAAGUUAUGAGUCUUCAUCUUAACCGUUCCUUAAUUCCAAUGCUUAAAAAAGCUGGUGCUCUUUGGCUUUAAUCUCACCAGCAGGCUCACACAAAUCUACUUAAUAAUAAUAAGUUGACCUUUUUUGGUUAUAUAUAUAUAGAGAGGCAAUGUUGAGUUAAUCUUAGAGAUUAUGGCACUAGGUAUAAUUAAUUAGUCUAACUUAAUUGAUAGAUUUGGGGUGCCACUUAAGGACAAGGAUCUUCUACCUUUGCUGCAAUAAUGUGCAGCAGGUGGAUUCAAGUCUAUUGUUUAGCCUUCUUUUUUAAGGGUUAAAUGUAAUGUUAUCUUUUUUAUAAGUAUUGAUAAUAAAUUAAAGGGAAUACUACAUGGUUCCACAAGUUACUACCUUUUUGCAUUAUGAUAUUAUAUUUUAUUGGUGUAUUGGUG
rnacentral:lncRNA from 1 species